rnacentral:tRNA from 1 species
GGCAGUGUGGAUGAAGGCUCCAGUCUCUUUGGGGGUGUGGGUUCAAAUCCCACCAUUGCCA